rnacentral:tRNA from 1 species
GGAGAUGAAUGUCGUCUGGUGGCGGCCCCGGACUUCAAAUCCGGUGAGGGUCAGUUAUGCUGGCCUUGGUGGGUUCGUUUCCCACGCAUCUCCGCCA